UUCAACCCCAGCCUGGGAGCUUCCGUGUGCCACGGGUGUGGCCCUAAAAAGACAAACUACACUAAACUAAACUAAACUAAUUAAAAAUAAGAAUAAAAUAAAAAACGAGAACACACACAAAGUGAAUGGAUGAAGGGAGUUAGGAGGAGGCUCGAUAAAUACAGAAAUAGGGAGCAGGGCCCCGGUGAUCCAGUUUAUUACCCUAUGGUGGGCGUGGCUAGCUCAGAGAGCUGUUGCCAAGCGACCCUAAUAAAUGAUCCCAAAGCAGUCCACAGGCAGUGUUCUGUAUAAAAGCUUAAUCAUCUUUAACAGGAAUCUUGAAGCCCUAAUGACUGGGAUAGAGGCGGCCUUCACAUGCAUGCCCUCUGGCUUCUAUUCUGGGCUGCGCUCUGACUCACCCUGUCAGCAGUGCCAGCUCCCUCCCCUCUGUUGUGCCCGGGGGAACAGGACAGAACUGACAAGGGAUCCAGCCCUCUCCUCUCCCACUGGGCAAACAGCCUUUCGCCAGCCCUGGACACACAGAGCCACCUAAGAAGGAGGCAUCCGCUGCCCAGAAAACGCUUCUAUCCAGCCCUCAGACUCGCCUGCUGGCCUGAGCAACCUAGCCUGCACGCUGGUCUGGGUUCUAGGACUCAGUGGCCAGAGCUGUCCCAGGAGGAGGCAAAUGGCACGACGCUUCUGCGUGUGUUUCUAUUUCCAAACUCCAGAACUCAUGUUGGGCCAUCGAGUCUACCCGGGCCUCCACCCACCUCCCUAUCACCCAAAGGACGGGGCCAGACUGCACUAGAGACAGAGAAAGGAACAAAGGCCCUGCCCUCGCGGAGCUCACGGCCUCAGUUAAGGAUCCAACAUUGCCACAAAUGGCAGCAUAGGAUGCAUAUGCAGCUGCGAUUUGACCUCUGGCCUGGGAACUUCUAUAUGUCAUGUGUGCAGCUGUAAAAAGAAAAAAGAAAAAAGAAAAAAAAAAAGAUAACCAGUGAUGGCUAGUGUUAAUUCAGCUACACUAUCCCUCAUUAGACUACAGAAAUAGUCUAUUUGUAUAUCAAUAAAGAAGAAAACAGCCCUGGGAAAGGGGGUGGGGAUGGGGUGGAGGGUGGUAAGUUGGGGGUGGGGGGAGGAAUAAGGGUUCCUGGAAGGACCUAAAGUAGCAAUGCAUCUUGUCACCAAUUUUCAGCAGGCCAUUCGCCCACCCACAGGGUCACACCACACACAGCAAGCUGGCACAGGCAUCAUGCGGCAUGUGCCUUGGCAGGAAGAAUGCAGGCUCUGACUUGACCUGGCCUCUCUUGCUUCCACUAUAAACAGGGCAUACAGCGCCUGCGUGACACAGUGGUUCCCAGAUCAAGUGCCCCAGAGGUACUCGGACCCUGCAGAGCACACAGAGGACACGAUACCCAUGCAGUACGGAGGGUCCUCAGAAAACAAAACAUAGAACUACCAUAUGAUCCUGAAAUCCCUGUCCUGGGCCUCCAUCCAGACAAAACUACAAUUCAAAAAGAUACAUGCACCCCAUGUUCACUGCAGCACU